UGGUUGAACGGUUCAUGAGUAAAUGCACGGACAACAUUUAGUUGCCGCCCGCCCGGCCGCCGUACAUCCUCAAAUCAAUAACCGACAUUUUUGUCACAAAAAUCCGGUUAAAAUUGAAAUAUUUUGAGUGGAUUGAGUUUUCAAAACACAUUUUAUGAGAAAAUUGUCUUGAAAUAGGACUCUACCAUGAAUAUUCAGUUGACAGAACAAGCCAUACUAAAAAAAGGGGGGGUGUUUCUCCUUAUUUCUUCUAUUCUGCUAUAAUAGAACAUUUUCCUAGGUAAUACUUGAAUAAAUAUAUAGUUUUAAGUAGAUGAAAUUAUUUUUAAUGCCGUAAUGACAAAUUAUUUACUUAAAGAGAAGCCUUUUAUGUCCCUCUUUGGAACGCGGCGUAAAUUUAAUUUUUACGUAAGGACUUAUUGAAACCUCCUUGGAGACAGUAAACUUUUAUAUGAAUUGUUUAUUCUGCUAAAAUCCUUCAAUUACUCAUUUCUUAUAACAUUUCUACCAUAACUGAGUGAAAGUUACCUCGUUGUUUAUAUUUAUUGGCCUGAAAAGUUGAAAUUUUGAGGAAAUGAUAGGUAUAAAUUGACCAAAAGAGACCUUAUAAGGAAAACAAAAAGGUCCAUUAGUGGUAUUAAUCUUCCUUAAAUCAUCUUGUGUAUCAUAUUCAACUGUUUGUAGGCAGAUAAGAUAGAUAUUUGAUCAUUUAUUGGUCCACACUCUAUUCUAUCUUGAUGUGGAUUGGUUUGGAUUUGUCGAAGAAAUUUUGCUCGAAUCGCUGUAGAUGUCGUCUUUCAUUAUACUAGGUUUUUCUCAAACUAUUGAACUGAUUAUGACAACACUUAAUAGAAAUGCUUGAAAUAACCAGUAUUACAAAGGGAAAAAGUUACAUUCAGUUUAAAAUGUCUUCUUUAAAGAUUGCUGUAGUUGGUAGUAAAAGUGAAUAUUUCAUUGUAUAUUGUAUAUAGCAUUGAUUUAAGUUGAUUCAACUACUAUUCUGGUCAAAGAAACAUAACUCCAAUUUAAAUGCCUGUACCAAGUCAGGAUUAUGACAGUGCUUGUCCGUUCGUUUUCGAUGCGUUUUGUUAUUCGAUUUUGCCAUGUUAUUAUGGACUUUCCGAAUUGAUUUUCCUCUAAGUUCAGUAUUUUUGUGAUGUUACUUUUUAUUGUCUUGAAACUACAAAAAUGAUUGUUUUGGCCCCUUUUUGGCCCUUUAUUCCUACUGUUUGCCCCAUAACCGUAAAGAUAUAUCCCAAAUGCAACCUUCUGCUUAUGGUAUUACACAUUGUGGAACAAUUUCAGAACAAUUGAAAUACACAACAUAUUGUCAUGACACUAGAUAAACGCUUGUUUUGGGCCCUUAAUUCCUAAACCUUAGGGACCAUAAAUUUUAUUGAUUUCUAUUCACUUAUACUUAAGUUAUUAUCCGGAAACCAGCCGUCUUCGGACGACGCUGACGACAACGACGACUUGAUACCAAUAUAUGACCGCAAAAAUUUUGUGGUUGUAUAACAAUCAUCAUUUCUUAAUACAUAAUUUUCAAGCAAUGUAAUGGAGUUAAUCAAACAUAUACAUAUCGGUAUUUUUAAAUAGAAUUGUAUUACCUCCCUUACACUGCUUUUAAGGGAGGUAAUCACACAUAUGUAUAUCAGUAUUUUUUACCCCCCCCCCCCCAUUGGAGCAAGACCCCAAAAAAUCAAUUCCAGCCUUUCCUUUGUAGUAUGAAACCUUGUAGUAUAAUUUUGGAGAUAAAUUUAAACACAAGUUAUUGUCUGUAAACUAGAAAAAUGCUUCUUUUUGGCCCUUUUUUUGCCCCUUAUUCCUUCAUGUUCGUGGAAAUUAACCCCAAACUCAAUCUCACCCUUCCCAGUCUUCCCUUCGUUAUAAGGAACAUGGUGGUACAAUUUCAGAGAGAUCCAUACAGUAACACUGAAGUUAUUUUCCCGAAACUAGAAAAAUGCUUGUUUUGGCCCCUUUUUCCUAGACUGAUUGCCCUUACCUUCUAUUUAUAGUAUUAAACAUUGUGGCACAAUUUCAGAGCAAUUGAAAUACUUAUACAUAACUUAUUGUCCUGAAACUAGAUUAAUGCUUGUUAUGGGCCCCUUUUGGCCCCUUAUUCCUAAACCUUUAAUACCAUAACCCCCAAAUCAAUCCCAACCUUCCUUUUGUGGUUAUAAACAAUUGUGUUUAAAUUCUAUUGAUUUCUAUGUACUUAUACUAAAGUUAUUAUCUGGAAACCAUCCGUCUUUGGACGGAAGAUGCUGAUGACGACGCUGACUAUGUGAUACCAAUAUACAACAAAAAAUGUUUUUAAUUUUUGCAGUCUAUGAGAAAUAUGUAUAUAGCAUCUAAAAAUUAUUUUUUAAAGAAUAACGAAAGAAAAAAAAUC
rnacentral:lncRNA from 1 species